rnacentral:rRNA from 1 species
UACGGGGGGAGCAAGCGUUGUUCGGAUUUACUGGGCGUAAAGGGCGCGUAGGCGGCCUCCGCAAGUCAGUUGUGAAAUCUCCGAGCUUAACUCGGAAAGGUCAACUGAUACUGCGGGGCUAGAGUGCGGAAGGGGCAACUGGAAUUCUUGGUGUAGCGGUGAAGUGCGUAGAUAUCAAGAGGAACACCUGCGGCGAAGGCGGGUUGCUGGGCCGACACUGACGCUGAGGCGCGAAAGCUAGGGGAGCGAACGGG